GUACUCACUUUGGCAGCACGUAUAUUAAAAUAGGAAUGAUACAGAGAAGAUCAGCAUGGCCCCUGCAAAAGGGUGGCAUGCAAAUUCAUGAAGGAUUCCAUAUUUUU
rnacentral:snRNA from 1 species